GACAGAGGAUGCAAGCGUUAUCCGGAAUGAUUGGGCGUAAAGCGUCUGUAGGUGGCUUUUCAAGUCCGCCGUCAAAUCCCAGGGCUCAACCCUGGAAGGCCGGUGGAAACUGUCGGGCUAGAGUCCGGAAGAGGCGAGUGGAAUUCCCGGUGUAGCGGUGAAAUGCGCAGAUAUCGGGAGGAACACCAAUGGCGAAGGCAGCUCGCUGGGACGGUACUGACGCUGAGACGCGAAAGCGUGGGGAGCAAACAGG
rnacentral:rRNA from 1 species